UGUGGCAUUUCUGAAUGAGUCAGGCAGGAGUACGAGGCGUUCAAGAAGCAAAACCUGCCUCACACUCCUCUUCCAUCAGGGGACCCCAGGGCUCCAACCCUUCGGUGGGGGUAUUUAAGAUUCUCGAAGACCACAUGCAAUUUACUGUCCAAUUUGAGGAGGGUGUCCCCCCAGACAGGAGCUCCUGAGAGAACCAGAGUUGAGACCCUGACUCCAUCAGCGCAUCAUCUGGGCUCCACGCCUUGAACAACUUGUCUGCUUUUCGGCCUUCCGACAGCGAAGUGCCAGGCUGGUGAGCCCGCCGCCCUCUGAGAAGCGCGUUCCGAUGUCUGGGCUGCGAUGCCAACGGAGCGGCAGGACCCGCUCAGCCUUCAGGCCUUCAGCAGAUCCCUACCAGCGGCUUCGACAGGGCAGCUUCUAUACUUAAUAUGGAUUAUGCAGAAAGAAGGGACACAGGGUCUUCGCCCGGGAGUUCCCAGCCUAGUGAAGGGAACAGACUAGAUGCUGCCUUGUGACCACUCAAUAUGCAAUAUAGUCUCUGCACCACACCACUCUUCCAUGGAAUAACGCCUGCUCCAGCGCACGGCCUCACACACGAUGGAAGGAUCGAUAUCUAACAAUGGCAUUGCAAUUCUCUUGGGCUCACGUGUCACCAAAGAAUCUCUGAUACAAUCUAUCAGGGAAGCCCAUUCAAAGAGCCUCCUUGGGCUGAUCCUAACAGCCUAAGAUCCAAGCUCCUGGAGGACGGCCCUUUGCCCCAUUGCACCGAAUUGUCUUGGCCCUUUGCCAUGGGGGUUAGGACCAUGUGAUUUGGAGUCAGACCAACCUAGGAUUCAAGACGAUCUCCACUACUUUGUUCUUGGGACCUUGCAUGGACUGGUCGAUUUCUCUACCCUCAUCCGCCCACGUGCUCAUCCAAUAAAGACGUACUGAGCCCUUA